CACGUAGCUGGACGUGACCACGUGAUCUAUGUGCAUGCGUGGAAUAGCCACCUGAAGAAAUGGUGAUAGACACCGGAAGCUGGAAGAGGCAAAGGACGCUUUCACCCUUGAUUUUUCACUGGCUUGCUUUUCCACAAGUCUCAUACGGAAGCACUAGACUGAAGAGGCGAAAAUCAAGAAGGACCUGCCUGGAUGAUGAAGCUCUUGGAUGGAUGUGCACAGGAAGAGCCGGGGGUGUCUCUAUUCCUUAGCUCCCAUGAUGCAGUUCAGUUCUGAUGAAGGGCCGAGUGUGGGUGAAAAGGGGAACACAUUGCCUCACUCAGUUCCCCUGAGGGUCAUGCUGAGGAUCUACUGGGAGGAAAACCGAAAGGAAAAACAAAAGAAACGGCCAUCAUUCUUCUAGUUCUUAUACAUUCUUCCCAGGACGAGGACUUUCUGCCACUUCAGAGUUAACUCUACAUAGACUGAGAAGGAAGGUCCUUUCCAAGAACACUCAACUAUCCAGGAAGAGGCGUUUUCCUACAAGUAGAGAGUCAUCAAAAUCAGGAGGUGGUCAUCUUGACAAACGUAGAGCAGUGUGAUCACACAGCUAAAGACAUCCCCUUUAGAGACAGGGAAGGAUACUUCAGAUGCUCCCUGGAACUCUUUUACCAAAUUGGGUAGCUCAAGUCUCCAAAGAGUACAAAUUAUGGCCAGAUGGCACAGGCCUUUAAUCCCAGCACUCGGGAGGUGGAUCUCUGUGAGUUUAAGGCCAGCCUGGUCUGCAGUGAGUUCCAGGACAGCCAGAGCUACACAGAGAAACCCUACCCUGUCUUGAAAAAUGACAGUCAAAAAGCAAAAAGAGUACAAGUUAUAUCCUUUUUCAUUGACCCUUACUGCCCUAUCCUCCAUAAAGGGAGACUAAGCCCUUUAUUUUAGCCACUUGGAAACUGUGGCUUGGGUAUUUUACAGGUUUUCUUUCCUAAUGGGAUCUUGUUAUCAUUCCCUUUAAUAAAACUUGCUUAAUAAAGUUUAAUAAAACCUC